rnacentral:lncRNA from 1 species
GUGUGUGCUACCACGACCAGCUUGUACUGUCACUUUGUGGUUUGGUGCUUGCCUCGUUCGUUCCUUGUAGAGACUUCUACAUUUUAGUUAUGUUCACAGUUUGCAGGGAAUAGUGUCAUCAAGGAAGAAAUAGAUUUCUCAGAGGAAAAGUUCAUGUGCUUAUUUUGAAAGAAUAAAGCAGACAUUUAAUUGGAGCUGGCUCACAGGCUCAGAGGUUCAGUCCUUUGUUAUGGCAGGAAUGGGCAGCGAGCAGGCAGGCUUGGUGCUGGCGCGGCCGAGAGUUGUUCUGGAGGCAGCCGUAGGGAGGCUUUUCUCUGCAGUGGGCAGAGCCUGAGCACUAGUAGUCCUCAAAGCCCACCAGUUCAGUGACACACUUCCUCCAGUAAGGCCACACCUGACAGUGCCAUUCAAGCCACCGCAUAUGUCACAUAUGGAUUUUAUGGUCCUCCUGAGUGUGCGAACAAGUGAGUCGUUGGUUCUUAUGCCUAUUCUUGGACUCUUUUCCUUCUGUUUGUUCAACUCCAAAAUGUUCUUGUUUUAUGUUACAUUUCAUCUUAUUUUAAAAAGUAGCAGAAGUAAAACUAUUCAUCUAUCUAUCAUCUAUCUAUCUAUCCAUCCGUAUAUAUGUAUAUAUAUAUAUAUAUAUAUAUAUAUAUAUAUAAAGUAAACUCAAAAAAAUAACUACAUACUUUUUUUAAAAACAGGUACAUGAAAUCCCGUUUAACUUAUUGUCAAAUUAAUGAUGUUAUCAAGGAAAUUAACAAGGCAGUAGUUAGUAAAUAUAAGAUUAUACAUCAACCAAAAGCAUCUAUGAGCUCUGUGAAGAGAAAUCUCUACCAAAGAUUCAUUAAUGAAGAAACGAAGGACACGAAAGGUAAAGCGAUGGCCUCUGAGGGCGUCAGCUGUUGGAGAAUAGCAGAGAAAUGCAGCUGUUCUAGAGACCGCUGCCCCAGCAGUUACAACUGUGCCACACAUCACCACGCUCCCGGUAGCGUGCCAGGCUUUAGUCCUCGCCACACCCCUGUCCCAUGAUGCAGCUGGACCGAGUUCUUGGCUCGGC